GUGUGUGUGAGACUGACAGUGGAUCAGGACUGUAAACCCACAGUCAGCUCAGAAGAAGAGUAUUAUUCACAUGGAGCAAAAGAUUUGUCCAGGAGAGAUUCAUUUCAGUGCGUGAUGGGGAAUGGGCUCUGCUCCGAGAAAGCAGGUUCUCCCAGUAGUGGAGCCGUCUCUUAGCACUGAUUCAUCUUCAUCAUCAACACCACCUUCAUCGUGUAAUAACUCUGCUGUGCCGCUGAUCAUCAUAACAGCUCCGUCUCGAGAAAACCUCUUAGAGAUGCCCACGGGUCUGAAGAUAGCAGAUGCGAAUAAAGAGCAGCGGCCCAUGGGAGGUCCGGUGUUUGUUGGUCGGGGCCGUUUUGUCACGGGCUCAGCCUGAUUUACACAGGUAUGAAAUAAAAAUGUUAUUAAUGUAGUCAUGGGGGUAAAUGUUACAGAGUUAAACUUAAAACUUUUUUUUUUUUUUUUUUACAUCACUAGCUAUGUAAAAAUAACAAGUAGACUACCACAUGACAGGACAACGCUGUUUGUACAAACCCGAUAACAUGUCAAAUGUUGAAAGUGAGACAUUUUGAAAUGUCAUGCCAAAUAUUGGCUCAUUUUGGAUUUCAUUAGAGCUACACAUUCCAAAAAAGUUUGGACAGGUAGCAAUAAGAGGCCGGAAAAGUUAAAUGUACAUAUAAGGAACAGCUUGAGAACCAUUUUGCAACUUAUUAGGUCGAUUGGCAACAUGAUUGGGUAUAAAAAGAGCCUCUCAGAGUGGCAGUGUCUCUCAGAAGUCAAGAUGGGCAGAGGAUCACCAAUUCCCCCAAUGCUUUGGAGAAAAAUAAGUGGAAAAAGUGGAAAAUGGUUCUGUGGUCAGACUAAUCAAAAUGUUAAGUUCUUUUUGGAAAACUGGGACGCCAAGUCAUCCGGACUAAAGAGGACAAGGACAACCCAAGUUGUUAUCAACGCUCAGUUCAGAAGCCUGCAUCUCUGAUGGUAUGGGGUCACAUGAGUGUGUGGCAUGGGCAGCUUACACAUCUGGAAAGACACUAUCAAUGUUGAAAGGUAUAUCCAAGUUCUAGAACAACAUAUGCUCCCAUCCAGACGUCGUCUCUUUCAGGGAAAUAUGGCAAUGGGACAAUGGCAGACCACAUACUGCAUCAAUUUCAACAUCAUGGUUGCGUAAAAGAAGGAUCCGGGUAGAAAACAUUUGGCCCAUCAUAAAGAGGAAGAUGCAACAAAGAAGACCUAAGACAGUUGGGCAACUAGAGGCCUGUAUUAGACAAGAAUGGGACAACAUUCCUAUUCCUAAACUUGAGCAACUUGUCUCCUCAGUCCCCAGAACGUUUGCAGACUGUUAUAAAAAGAAGAGUGGAUGCCACACAGUGGUAAACAUGGCUUUGUCUAAACUUUUUGAGAUGUGUAAUUUAAAAUCAACUUAUUUUUUCCUUAAAAUUAUAAAUUGUCUCAGUUUAAACAUUUGAUAUGCCAUCUAUGUUGUAUUCUGAAUAAAAUAUUGAAAUUUGAAACUUCCA